GGAAGAGGCAGAGUAAGAAUACACUGUUUUCUCAUGAAAGCUAAGCGAGAACGCCCGUGACAUCUGGACACAGGUACAGCCACGUAGACCAAGCUAGCCACUGCCUUUCUGGUUUGAAAUACCCUCUCCCCGCUUCCAGAGCGGCUGCAUUCCUGAAGGCUGUAAGAUCCCCAUAAGCAUAGCUGCGCACCUACAAUGAGCCUGCGGAGUGCGCUGUUGACCAGCCCCGCGGUAAGACUUCGCGGGGACGACCGGAGCAGGCCAGUGGAGUGGUGCGCUCCCCUAAUGACUGGCUACAGUGGGGAGACAGCGGGUACCCGGCGGACGGUGACAUCGUACAAGGCGCAAGGAUGAGCGGACUCCAGGCACUGCGGCAGCUUAACGCAAGACCACCUCUGCCGCGCGCAUUCCUCCGUGGGCCCGCGCCGCACUGAGCAGUCAUCUUCUAGAAUGUAGAAGAUAAUGCGUCUCGGCCAGAUCCUCAUCAUGCGAUGAUGUGCCCCAGCCAACAGCUCCUGCAGUCUCUCAGGACCCGAGGGGUGGCUUCAGCUCGAGGACAAGUUCACGCCCACUUUGGAAUGUACGGCAGGGGUGGCUGUGAUGGAACUUUUCUUCCCCAUGUGUCUUCUUUGAUGCUGAAUGAGGUAUGAAGGCCGAGUGAAGCCUUUCCCACACACUUGGCACUCGUAGGGCUUCUCGCCAGUGUGGACUUUCUGAUGUUCAAUAAGGCUUGUAAUCCUGGAGAAACUUCUCUCACAAUGAUUGCAUUGGUAAGACACGGGGGUUUCAAUAUUCUCCCACUGGCUCUCCACCCGACUCUGACUUUCCCAGUAAGGUUCUGGAACAUAAAAGUCUUUGUCUCCA